rnacentral:ncRNA from 2 species
GACAGAGUAGAUAUUUGCGCGUCAAGUGCCGGCAGGACGGGAAGUUGCCUACGGACGAAAAACAUGAAAAUGUUUGCGGUGCACUUAUCGCAUUCCGCUGAU